CCUCCCGUAACUCAGGGGCAGAGUCGCACUCUUAUAAAGUGCAAGGCGUUGGUUCGAGUCCAACCGGGAGGA
rnacentral:tRNA from 1 species